rnacentral:rRNA from 1 species
UAUACAACAAGUGCCUAGCUAGAUAUAGUAUGGCAAUCUCGAAUAUAUAUCGUGAUGGGGAUAGAUCUUUGCAAUUAUAGAUCUUGAACGAGGAAUUCCUAGUAAGUGCAAGUCAUCAUCUUGCAUUGAUUAUGUCCCUGCCCUUUGUACACACCGCCCGUCGCUCCUACCGAUACCGGGUGAUGCCCGGGUGAACCUGUUGGACCCUUUUGGGAAAAAUAAGUAAAUCAUAUCACCUAGAGGAAGGAGAAGUCGUAACAAGGUUUCCGUAGUGAACCUGCAGAAGGAU